GUCCACGCCCUAAACGAUGUCGACUGGUUGUUGGGGGUUUGACACUCUCAGUAACGAAGCUAACGCGUGAAGUCGACCGCCUGGGGAGUACGGCCGCAAGGUUAAAACUCAAAGGAAUUGACGGGGACCCGCACAAGCGGUGGAUUAUGUGGAUUAAUUCGAUGCAACGCGAAAACCUUACCUACCCUUGACAUGUCCUGGAGGCCCCCUGAGAGGGGGCUGUGCCCGAAAGGGAACGGGAACACAGGUGCUGCAUGGCUGUCGU
rnacentral:rRNA from 1 species